GUCCCUUGGACUGCAAGGAGAACCAACCAGUCCAUCCUAAAGUAGAUCAGUCCUGGGUGUCCAUUGGAAGGACUGAAGCUGAAGCUCCAAUACUUUGGCCACCUGAUGUGAUGAGCCAACUCAUUGGAAAGGACCCUGAUCCGGGAAAGACUGAUGGGAGGAGAAGGCAGUGACAGAGGAUGAGAUGGUUGGAUGGCAUCACCGACUCAGUGGACAUGAAUCUGAGCAAACUCCAGGAGAUAGUGAAGGACAGGAAAGCCUUGCGUGCUGCAGCUGAUGGGAUCACAAAGAGUCAGAUGUCACGCAGCGACUAAACAAUGACUGUGUAAGAAACUCAGGUUGGUGCUAACUAGAGUCAAGGAAACUGCGAAAGACUAGAAAACACAAGGGAGGUUUAGAGGGAGAAAAGAAACCCAAAGGAAUCAUUUCCAAAGAUAGUUAAUUCAUAGAUUUGCAAAUUAUUUCAAUUUAUUGAAUCAUUAUGCAACUAUGCAAUGGAAAGAGAAGUACGCAUAAUAAUAGUGGUCUCCCCAAACUCUUAUCUGUAAGAACACAGAUAAGGGGGGGCAUGGAUUGGGUCAGGAACCCUACUGGGCACUUCCUGUUUCAACCUCCCCGAGGUAUUUCCUUCACAGGUGGAACAGCUUAGAUGGAUGCAUAUGAAUGCCUAGGGUUGACUGUUAGGGCAAAGCAGCUGCAAAAGGACACUCUGAGCCCACGUGGGGUGUGUAUGGGAUCCUACUCAUUUCACCUUUGAACUUGGGCUCUUUGAGUACCCCUUCACCUCAACUCACUUCCCUUGCAUUUCCCCCCUCAGGAAGUGACUCCACUACUUUGGCCACCUAAUUAGAAGAGCCCACUUGUCAGAAAAGACCCUGAUGCUGGGAAAGAUUGAGGGCAGGAGAAAGGGACGACAGAAGAUUCUGCAUGUGUCAAACAAAAGUUAUUAGCCUGCACCCCACUAUCGGUGAUGCUGUGCAGAACUGUAGUUGAUUUCUGUGAGGCUGAUUCUCAGAACGGAGGCUUGGAGGUUGGCGGUGGAGGGAGAGGGGCUGAGGGUGGGCGUGGAGGUAGGUAAAUCCAUAAAAGGCGAUUCUGUCAGUUUCCUCAGCCAGGGGUAGGGGGAGAGUGGGCUCUUAAAUUCUAAUCUUCCUAGGCCCCAUUUUUUCCUCUAUCUUCCUUCCUGUCUCAAAUAACAAUGCCCUUGUAAAGAAAGAUUUAAUUUUUUUUUCUUUUUGCUUUUCUUUUAUUGAUUUUUGUUUUCUUUGACCAGGGUUGAGGGAUCUUAGUUCCCCUGAACCAGGGAUCAAACCCUUGUCCUGGCAGUGAAAACCUCUGAUCUCUAACCACUGAACUGCCAGGGAAUUCCCAAGAAAGGUAUUUUAAAAAUUAAAGAACAACAGACCAAAAAAAAAAACAAAAAAAAAAACCAGGAGUGGGGGACUUCCCUGCUGGUCCAGUGGUUGAGAUUUUGACAUGAAAGGUAUUUUAAAAAUUAAGAAACAACAGACAAAAAAAGUCUCAAAAAAAAAAAAAAAAAAGGAGGGGGAUAACUUCCCUGCUGGUCCAGUGGUUGAGUCUUUGCCUUCCAGGGUUGGGGGUGUGGGUUCAAUCCCUGGUCAGGGAGCUAGGAUCCCACAUGCCUCAUGGCCCCAAAUCCAAAACAUUAAAAACAAAAAAAAGAAGCGAUAUUGUAACAAUAAAGAAUUUUUAAAAUGGUCCACAUAAAAAAUCCUAAUAAAACCCCAGCAGAAGUUUCUGGAUGCCUAUCUCACCCUCCUGCGGGCACCUCCCACCUCUCGGAGCCUGCCUGCAGCCCACGGCUGGGUGAGCAGGAGAUUUAAGGCUGUCGGGGUUGGGCUGCAAACCUGCUGGCACCCUGGCUGAUGAAUCAGUAGUAAAACUCGGCUCAGUAAUAUUUGUAUGGAAAAUGCAAUGUUUGCACACUAAAGCUCUCCAGAUUUUUAGGCCGUAGGAGUGAAGCCAGUUUACAAUCAAUGAUAACAGGUUUCCCUCGUUGCCAUUACCACAAAUAGUAUCUGAUUUCGGCGAAAUGGUGGCAGGCAGCAGGAGACCCAACAAUGCAGAUUUUAAUCAGAAAAUUUAAUUUUAUAUACAAUUCACAGUUUGUGCACAGCGAGAAGUGUUUCUCACUGCAUGAACUUUCAGGACUUGGCUCCAAGCAAAAAAGGAGUUUCAAUUGAUGUAACGCCUUUCUCAGCACACAAUACCCCCAAAGUACUUCCUGGUAAUACGGGCUGGUGCUGCUGCAGGCCACAUCUUUCUGAAAAUCACCCAGAAGAUUUAUUCAGAGCAAUUAAAAGAAGCGGCUGCUCCCCACACAAAUCUGCAGUUAAUGUAGAUAUUAAGUUGGCCGAGAUUUUAAGGCCGCGUGGCCUCCCUGGGUCCUCUCUGGGCUGAGUUGCUCCCUGCUAAAAGGUAGAUUUCCGCCUGGGCUCAUUGUGUUUCCUAGUUGACUUGUAAACUGAACAGAAGCUUCAGUUGAAAAUGUUGAUGGAGCCUUUAAGAGAAGGGCACUGGAGGAGCUGCCUCUGAGGAUGAGCCCAGCAAGAGUGGUGGGUAUGGGGUGAAGGGUCAGGGGUGCGGGCUCCUGAUUCCCUCGCUGGACCAGAAUGCUGGGUGCGUCCUAAGGGGUCAAGGCUGGUAUUUUGGAUUUGAGGGUGGGACCGGAGGAGACCCUGUGUGAUGGAGUGGGGUGGGGGAAUGUCACACACAUACUUGGUAGGACUCUUGGUAAGAGUCGGAGGAGGCAGAGUGGGGGAGGCAGGAGAUGGAAAUGGCCAGAGGCUGAGCAUCACGGGGAAGUUCAGUUCAGUUCAGUCACUCAGUCGUGUCCUACUCUUUUUGACACACCAGGCCUCCCUGUCCAUCACCAACUCCCGGAGUUAACCCAAACUCAUGUCCAUUGAGUCGGUGAUGCCAUCCAACCAUCUCAUCCUCUAU
ensembl:lncRNA